CGAGGCGGCCAUUUUAGCGCUGGGUAGCGGAGUUCUCCCUUUCUUGCGUAGCUUUUCCUUCGCAAGAGUCACUUGUUAAAACUGAGGUGGGCGUGGUGGCCUUUAAUCCCAGAGCUCCGGAGGCAAAGGCAAACUCUGUGAGUUCAAGGCCAGCCUGGAAUUACUUUCGUUUUUGGCUCUAGGUUUCACAAUGAAUUUUCACAUAUAAGUUGGACUUUAAUUCUGUUUAAGAGUCAUCAUAAAACACGUUUUACGCCGAGAACGUAAAAUUUGGGUUAAUCGUAUGGUCGUGGUGGCUGGCACGAUGUCUACCAACCCUAAGAGGUUAAUCUUGACAGACAUCAUGAUUUGCUCAUUAUAUGGGUAAUAAAACAGUCCGAUGGCAUCAGAGUUCCUGUGUCUUUACUCUGCAAACGGUGAGAAAACUCUAGCAGAAACUAUCACCAAAGACAUUGACUACGGGGAACUUAGAUGGAGGAUGAGCAGUUUAAACUUCACAUCAUCACACACAGGAUCGCUGUCUAACUCCUACAGCUGAAAGUCUUUCCCCUACAUCUACAGUAUCUUAAAUAAACAAAUCUAAAAGUCA